CAGCAGCCGCGGGAAUACGUAGGGUGCGAGCGUUAAUCGGAAUUACUGGGCGUAAAACGUGCGCAGGCGGUUGUGUAAGACAGGUGUGAAAUCCCCGGGCUUAACCUGGGUACUGCGCUUGUGACUGCACAGCUAGAGUAUGGCAGAGGGGGGUGGAAUUCCACGUGUAGCAGUGAAAUGCGUAGAGAUGUGGAGGAACACCGAUGGCGAAGGCAGCCCCCUGGGCCAAUACUGACGCUCAUGCACGAAAGCGUGGGGAGCAAACAGGAUUAGAUACCCCCGUAGUCCCUGUCUCUUAUAC
rnacentral:rRNA from 1 species